AGAGUUUGAUCCUGGCUCAGGACGAACGCUGGCGGCGCGCCUAACACAUGCAAGUCGAACGGAGCUGAGAGGAGCUUGCUUUUCUUAGCUUAGUGGCGAACGGGUGAGUAACGCGUGAGUAACCUGCCCUGGAGUGGGGGACAACAGUUGGAAACGACUGCUAAUACCGCAUAAGCCCACGGAUCCGCAUGGAUCUGCGGGAAAAGGAUUUAUUCGCUUCAGGAUGGACUCGCGUCCAAUUAGCUAGUUGGUGAGGUAACGGCCCACCAAGGCGACGAUUGGUAGCCGGACUGAGAGGUUGAACGGCCACAUUGGGACUGAGACACGGCCCAGACUCCUACGGGAGGCAGCAGUGGGGGAUAUUGCACAAUGGGGAAACCCUGAUGCAGCGACGCCGCGUGGAGGAAGAAGGUUUUCGGAUUGUAAACUCCUGUCGUUAGGGACGAUAAUGACGGUACCUAACAAGAAAGCACCGGCUAACUACGUGCCAGCAGCCGCGGUAAAACGUAGGGUGCAAGCGUUGUCCGGAAUUACUGGGUGUAAAGGGAGCGCAGGCGGACCGGCAAGUUGGAAGUGAAAACUAUGGGCUCAACCCAUAAAUUGCUUUCAAAACUGCUGGCCUUGAGUAGUGCAGAGGUAGGUGGAAUUCCCGGUGUAGCGGUGGAAUGCGUAGAUAUCGGGAGGAACACCAGUGGCGAAGGCGACCUACUGGGCACCAACUGACGCUGAGGCUCGAAAGCAUGGGUAGCAAACAGGAUUAGAUACCCUGGUAGUCCAUGCCGUAAACGAUGAUUACUAGGUGUUGGAGGAUUGACCCCUUCAGUGCCGCAGUUAACACAAUAAGUAAUCCACCUGGGGAGUACGACCGCAAGGUUGAAACUCAAAGGAAUUGACGGGGGCCCGCACAAGCAGUGGAGUAUGUGGUUUAAUUCGAAGCAACGCGAAGAACCUUACCAGGUCUUGACAUCCGAUGCAUAGCUUAGAGAUAAGUGAAGUCCUUCGGGACAUCGAGACAGGUGGUGCAUGGUUGUCGUCAGCUCGUGUCGUGAGAUGUUGGGUUAAGUCCCGCAACGAGCGCAACCCUUAUUGCCAGUUACUACGAAAGAGGACUCUGGCGAGACUGCCGUUGACAAAACGGAGGAAGGUGGGGAUGACGUCAAAUCAUCAUGCCCUUUAUGACCUGGGCUACACACGUACUACAAUGGCGUUUAACAAAGAGAAGCAAGACCGCGAGGU
rnacentral:rRNA from 1 species